CAUCCCUGACGCCCAGAAAAGAAAGCUUUUUAAAUCCUUUUAGAGUGAGCAGGGGCUGAAGGCAGGAGUUCAAGGGAGGAGGCCACACAGGCCCCCAAAAGCAUGAUGACCAGAGGCAUUUCCUCACCGAAGAACGAACUGCUGUGUAGUCACUGAUCUUUACCAUUGAGACUCAGCUGGGUCUCACUGUCAGCAGCGGCAGGGGGACCCCCAGGAAUCAGGAGAAACAAUUUUCCCUGGGCUUCCUGCUUUUGAAAUUAAGCGCUGCUCCCUCCACCCCGGAGGUGCGCAGGCUGCAGUGGUUCACGUGAAGUGAUCUGUGCGUGCUCAGGAACUCAUUUUCCUUUGCAGAAACCCUGAUGCAUGGGCAGAUGGCUGCUCCUAAUGGUGCUGCCCGUGAUACCAACCUCGGGCUGCAUCCCCUAUGCCAGGGCCUCUCUCAUGCCCAGCACCACUCCCAGCCCAGGACCUGGGAUGACCCUUCACACACACCAGCCAGCAGGACACCAACUGACCGGAGCCAAAGCCCAGCUUAGUCUCGAAUAAACAGGUCUCAAGCAGAGGGGCCACUGACAGGCUCUGCUGCCCAGGACGGGCCCCAGGUGAGCCUUCUCCCCCUGGGACGCUUGAGCCUGGGGUAACUGCACACAUCUUAAGGUCCCUGGGAGGCAGUGAUGCCACCCACCCUGGAUUGUGUUUCCCUUACACGAUUUUUUAAAGAACACACCUGUAGGGACACUGCUGAGAAAGAAACAGGAGGGGACCCUGUUGUCUUCAACUCCCUGAGGUGGGGUAGUUAGAGGAAAGAAUUGAGGGAGAAAUUUCCAGAAGGAACAUCAGAUGCUGGGUGGGGAGUUCCGUCCUCCCCAAAGAGCAAACUCUAGGAGCGUUCGGGCUUUGCUGUUUUUCCUUUUGAAAAUUACGUAACCAGCCAGGGAGAACAAAGCCUUCCCAUGCCUCUCAGCGAUACUAAAAUAGCACGGAGAGAAAUUCCGGCUACCUCAUCGGAACUCCAGCUCCACAUCAGCAAAGCAGGGGAAGGGGAGCAUCUGGGUCCCUGUGUGAGAAGUCUGGGUGCUGGUGGCUGCAGGCACAGUGCCAGCUGCACAGAGUCCCCUGCCCAGGAUGGAGGCUGAGAGUCCAGCUUCUGGUCCACAAGUGUGCAAGGGAGCGUGUGCACGCAGCACAUGCAGAGACAUCCAGCCUGGGGUGUGGGGUACUGAGGAUUGAAUCUACAGUGAACUGCCAUCUGGCUAACCAAGUCCAUUACAGCGACACCAUCGCUCGGUUCUGACUUCCGGACUCUGCCGCAUGUGUUCGCUGCCCUCCCUUUGGCCCUCCUCUGUGAGUGUCUCCUUCAUGGAAAGGUUAUAAAACCCUGAGAGUCAGACCCACAUGCCACAGAGAUCACAUGGCAGGGAUGUGAGCGCUGGAGAGGAAACGUGUGGCUGUACACUUGUUUUUGCACUUUGCUCCCUGCUCUAGCCGGAGAGACACCAGGGAGUGCUUUGGUCUCCCAGGAACAAAGAAUCCCCUGCAGGCCUGUAAUGUAUUCCACAUACCCACAAGCCUCAUAGCCGUGAUGGUCAGGGCCCCUGGAGGCCAUCGGACCCCAGUGUACACGGUGAGAGAGGGAGAGAAGUGGUCAGCCUCCAGGUGAAGAGCUCCCUGGAGGGAGAAGAUGACAAAGCAUGAAGCUCCGCAGCCUGGGAGUGGAGUAGACAAGAAAGCAGUGGAGCUCAUGGAACCAGGGAGAUGGGCAGUGGGGAACCCACUCUGAGCUCUCAGACAGGUGAGGCAAAGAACAGGAGCCUUGAUGGGGACGUGCCUUCCCAAGCAGCACCUGCGUUCCUUGCUGGUUUGAUUUCAUGCUGAAAAAGGUGACCAUCCAGCCUUCAGGCAUUCGUCAGUUCAUAUAAAUUAAGAGCAGGAACACAGGCAAGUGAAGAGCAGAAAAGGGAAAGGACUCUUCCAAGGUCACUCCUGUUUUUGGAGCAGGCCCAUUCCAUUUUGGCAUUUCUUGGGCUUCAGGCUGAUCUUAUGGGGUGUCCUCCAUCAGGUGAGGAAGGGGAACCUGACCCAGCCAGCAAAGUCUCAUGCACAGCCAGGACUGGCCAACUGCAAAGGACCAGCUCCUCUUCCUCAAAUAAUUAAGUCAGAACUUUCUAUGAGGAAACAAAGAGUCACAUACUGUCCAUAUGGUAGCGGCUACCAGCAUUCCAAACCAGAAUCCUCUCCCUUCACCAGACCAGAGCUGGAGCCAGGCUGCCCUCAGGGAGCGAUGGCGGGAGGGGACUGGGAAUUAGCCCUGUCGUGCUAGCACAGCACCUGACCUCCAAUGGGGCCCAGCCAGUGUUUGUUGGGUGGGGAGAGCAUCAAUUCAUUCUAGUGUGAUAUUGGAGAGCCAAGACCCCUUAAGGCCAGGUACAAAAGAUACCUCUGUUUAGGUAUAAUCAAAACAGUGAAUUAAUCAUGGGAAUGUGGAUGGUCUUAUGCCCACAUGCAUCCGUGGGAAAUAAAACACUCAGGAUCCCAUGAAAAGAGCCAGGGUGCGGGUCCAGGCUGAGGGAGCAGAGCUGGUGGAGGAGCUAGGGAGAGGAAAAGAGAGAGAGAGGAAGGGAGGGGGUAGUGGAAGGGGGGCAACGGGUAGAAAGAGGUCAAGAGUGAGGAACACGGCAGGACCUUACUUCCAGCCUCAGAGGCAGCUGCCCGCCUUCUUUCUGAGUUGCUUGGCCGUCAUUAACACUCGGGACACACAGACAGAUUAUUCUCACUGCCUGGGAGCCUUGGAUAUACACAUUUGAUAUAGUCCUCAAUGCAGAAAAUGCUGCAACCUUGACAACGGCAGCAGCACGUUAGCUUGACAAAUGCAAUCCUGCCAGCAGCCAAGAACCCCACAGUUCUCCCAGGUACUGGGAGUCCAGGGCAGGAACCGGAUUUAACCUGCAAAGUGUAGUUACUUCACUGGGAACCCAGAUCAGGACUGGCACCCCAGCCAACGCACUUGGACGUUUGGCCUGCAGCGGGCUGGAUAUUGACGCACUAAAGCAUUCCUUUGCUUCUACACACUCCAGAUAAAUGAACCUCAGGGUUUUAUGAGUUCUCAAGAACCAGCAGAAGCCAGGCUCUGUCUUCCUGGGGUCCUUUUGUGCUGGGAACAAGAGGAAGUCAGUGGGUUUGGGGAGGGGACUACCUGGGGAAGGUCUCAGCCACCUCCCCGGCUUAAGUAUAGUCCUACUUCCAAGCUACCCAUUGGGAGGAAGAGUAUUUGAUAAUAUUGCCUUUAACCCAAUGCCAUGGGUCAGGGCAACUUGGGGCUCAGAAAAGUACUUAAGGUGGUCAGCUUAUACGCGUCAUGCACAGAGCUUCCUUAAGGAACACACCUGAAGAGGUAAAGGCUGGACAGGGGAAGGAGGGUCUGGAUCAGGUCAUCAUAGGCAGGAGGAGCUGUCUCUCCCGUGCUGGUCACUUCCCACCUGGAGGAAGUCAGGUGAGGCUGCUGUCACCGAGCAUGGCAGGAGGGGACAGAACCCUCACCUUUCCAGCACAAGUCUUCUGGGUGGGAAGCAGAUUGCUUUUAGAACUAGGCUUUAUUAUACUGCCAAUGACAAAAUCAUUUUCUUUUUUCA